CCUACGGGAGACAGCAGUGAGGAAUAUUGGUCAAUGGACGAGAGUCUGAACCAGCCAAGUAGCGUGAAGGAUGACUGCCCUAUGGGUUGUAAACUUCUUUUAUAAAGGAAUAAAACGAGGCACGUGUGCCUUUUUGCAUGUACUUUAUGAAUAAGGAUCGGCUAACUCCGUGCCAGCAGCCGCGGUAAUACGGAGGAUCCGAGCGUUAUCCGGAUUUAUUGGGUUUAAAGGGAGCGUAGAUGGGUUGUUAAGUCAGUUGUGAAAGUUUGCGGCUCAACCGUAAAAUUGCAAUUGAUACUGGCAGUCGUGAGUACAGUUGAGGUAAGCGGAAUUCGUGGUGUAGCGGUGAAAUGCUUAGAUAUCACGAAGAACCCCGAUUGCGAAGGCAGCUUACUAAACUGUGACUGACAUUGAUGCUCGAAAGUGUGGGUAUCAAACAGGAUUAGAUACCCGGGUAGUC
rnacentral:rRNA from 1 species